GUGGGGAAUUUUGGACAAUGGGCGCAAGCCUGAUCUAGCCAUGCCGCGUGAGUGAUGAAGGCCCUAGGGUUGUAAAGCUCUUUCAGCUGGGAAGAUAAUGACGGUACCAGCAGAAGAAGCCCCGGCUAACUCCGUGCCAGCAGCCGCGGUAAUACGGAGGGGGCUAGCGUUGUUCGGAAUUACUGGGCGUAAAGCGCGCGUAGGCGGACUGAAAAGUUGGGGGUGAAAUCCCGGGGCUCAACCUCGGAACUGCCUUCAAAACUAUCAGUCUGGAGUUCGAGAGAGGUGAAUGGAAUUCCGAGUGUAGAGGUGAAAUUCGUAGAUAUUCGGAGGAACACCAGUGGCGAAGGCGGCUCACUGGCUCGAUACUGACGCUGAGGUGCGAAAGCGUGGGGAGCAAACAGGAUUAGAAACCCUGGUAGUCC
rnacentral:rRNA from 1 species